CUCCCUGUAGUUCAAUGGAUAGAACGGGCGCCUCCUAAGCGCCAGAUACAGGUUCGAUUCCUGUCGGGGGGA
rnacentral:tRNA from 1 species